rnacentral:lncRNA from 1 species
UGUUUUCAAGUGUUUUCAUCUAAGUGUCCAGAAUAAAGUAAGUUAUCUUACAUUUUUAAACUAAGGUUGUUAUAUUGGUGUUGCUUCCCGAAAGCUUUUUUUUAUUACCUGCAUGUCUUGACAAUUUUCACCGUAUUUAGCUAUUACCGCAGCAGCGUGCCAGGUUGGUUGUACAGGCUGGAGCGCAUGUAUUGCAGUCUGCAGGAUCAGAUACUUGGUGAGUUGAUGUGCCUGAGAUAUUAUACUACUUAAGUAGAUUUGUUUAAACUUUCAAUGGUUGUAAUUUGUCAUAUUUUUUGUAGAUUCUAAUGCAAAUGCAAGUCAUAGUGCAGAGAUGAUUGAGUACAAGCGAAAAUAUAACGGACAGACCCACGACCAUGACUGGCACUGUUAUUAAGCGGCGUAAAUCAAGGACAUCCCUACUAUUUUGAAUUUAGAGAUUUAGUCAAGCUUGAAACCUCAUCGCUGGUGAGCUCUCAAACAUUACA